GCCUUAGUAGUAUAAAAAUUACAUUGGUCUUGUAAACCAAAAAUGAAAUAUAAUUCUUCCUAAGACA
rnacentral:tRNA from 2 species